UGGGGCGUCGCCAAGCGGUAAGGCAUCGGUUUUUGGAGCCGACAUGCGUUGGUUCGAAUCCAGCCGCCCCAGCCA
rnacentral:tRNA from 1 species